UACGGCGGGAGCUAGCGUUGUUCGGAAUUACUGGGCGUAAAGCGCGCGUAGGCGGCUUUGUAAGUUAGAGGUGAAAGCCCGGGGCUCAACCCCGGAAUUGCCUUUAAGACUGCAUCGCUAGAAUCCGGGAGAGGUGAGUGGAAUUCCGAGUGUAGAGGUGAAAUUCGUAGAUAUUCGCAAGAACACCAGUGGCGAAGGCGGCUCACUGGCCCGGUACUGACGCUGAGGUGCGAAAGCGUGGGGAGCAAACAGG
rnacentral:rRNA from 1 species